rnacentral:misc_RNA from 1 species
GAAAUGCGAUAAGUAAUGUGAAUUGCAGAAUUCAGUGAAUCAUCGAAUCUUUGAACGCACCUUGCGCUCCUUGGUAUUCCUUGGAGCAUGCCUGUUUGAGUAUCAUGAAAUCUUCAAAGUAAAUGUUUUGUUAACUCAAUUGGUUUCUACUUUGGUAUUGGAGGUCUUUGCAGCUUCACACCUGCUCCUCUUUGUUCAUUAGCUGGAUCUCAGUGUUAUGCUUGGUUCCACUCUGCGUGAUAAGUUAUCUAUCGCUGAGGACACUGUAAAAGGUGGCCAAGGUAAAUGCAGAUGAACCGCUUCUAAUAGUCCAUUGACUUGGACAAUACUUUUAUGAUCUGAUCUCAAAUCAGGUAGGACUACCCGCUGAACUUAAGC